rnacentral:rRNA from 1 species
GACGAACGCUGGCGGCGUGCUUAACACAUGCAAGUCGAACGGAAAGGCCCUGCUUUUGUGGGGUGCUCGAGUGGCGAACGGGUGAGUAACACGUGAGUAACCUGCCCUUGACAUUGGGAUAACUUACGGAAAAUGGGGCUAAUACAGUAUAGGAGCUCCUGCUGCAUGGUGGGGGAUGGAAAGUUUCGACGGUUGGGGAUGGACUCGCGGCUUAUCAGCAUGUUGGUGGGGUAGUGGCUUACCAAUGCUUUGACGGGUAGUCGGCCUGAGAGGUUAACCGGCCACGUCGCCACCCAGUUACCGCACAUGCUUCUACGGGAGUGACAAGUGGGGAAUAUUGUCCGAAGGGCGGUAGCCAGAGGCAGGAACGCCUCGUCCUGGAUGAUGUUCCUCGGCUUUCAAAGCGCUUUUGCCUAUGAAAAAGCAUGAGUGACGGUAAUGGGGAAAGAAGCACCGGCUAACUACGUG